GGUACGGUAGGUACGAGUAGUAGAAGUACGAGGACGCUUCCUUCGGGAAAGCGAGCGUACACAGGUGCUGCAUGGCUGUCGUCAGCUCGUGUCGUGAGAUGUUGGGUUAAGUCCCGCAACGAGCGCAACCCUUGCCUUUAGUUGCCAGCAGUUCGGCUGGGCACUCUAAAGGGACUGCCGGUGUUAAACCGGAGGAAGGUGGGGAUGACGUCAAGUCCUCAUGGCCUUUAUGACCAGGGCUACACACGUACUACAAUGGCCGAUACAAAGGGCAGCGACACUGCGAGGUGAAGCCAAUCCCGUAAAAUCGGUCUCAGUCCGGAUUGGAGUCUGCAACUCGACUCCAUGAAGUUGGAAUCGCUAGUAAUCGUGGAUCAGCAUGCCACGGUGAAUACGUUCCCGGGCCUU
rnacentral:rRNA from 1 species